AAUUAAUACGAGAUCGAGUACAGUGUAUCCCACCGGAGCUCCACCUUUCCUCAUACGUAGGAGAGGGGCCUCUGGAAGCACCCUGGGAUACGUCUCCGUCCAUGUCGGUGGUUUCAAUGGUUAAUUGCAGAAUUGUAAGUUAGAUUGAAUAAGAAAGGGUCACAGUGCACGCACCGGCGGGUGCGGCUGUCACUGAGUGCGUGAGGAGUAGGCGCCAAAUACGGCGAAUAAGCAAGCGCUCUCGGUGCCGACUGGUCGGCGGUACUUGGGCUCGGUGGCGAGCCCGAGGCCCGAGCGUGUUGCGGGUGAGACGUGCGGGCGGCGGCGAAGGGCGC
rnacentral:misc_RNA from 1 species